rnacentral:lncRNA from 1 species
UAAACUAGAUGAUUGGCAGCACAAUGUUGCUGUUGGGAAUCGAACUCAAGUCUACUGCAAGAGCAACAAACAAGUUGGGCUAUUGUUCCUGGUCCCUCACCUGUUGAGACAAUUCAGCAUUAGAGAAGAAAGCCCCAAUUUCUCAAAGACUUGGUUCCCCAGGAUAACUUGGUUAGGACAUGGCUCUGCUGAGGCUGGAAUUCAGUUUCAGACCCCCAUAGCUUAAAUGCUGGGCAAAGUUCCCUGUCUGAACUGCCUGCUCUGCCAAGCUUGGGAGACAAUAUCUAUCUCUAGGACCAGAGGAACCCUGGGGAAGGCAGGAACCAAGGAUGUCAAGCAGAGUGCCCCAGUGUAUUAUGUCAUUCCCACCAGGAGGGCCGUGUAGCCAUUACCAGGGUGGCCAACCUUCUGCUAUGUAUGUAUGCCAAGGAGACUGUAGGCUUCGGGAUGCUCAAGGCCAAGGCCCAGGCCUUGGUGCAGUACCUGGAGGAACCCCUCACCCAAGUAGCAGCCUCAUAAUAGUGUGAUGGAAGCUGGAGUGGAAAAGGGAUCGUGAUUGGGAAGAGCAGGGCCCCGGAAAUGCCUCACUGGGCUGGGUGAGGGGUUGCUUUUUUCUAAAUAAAUUUUCAACUCUU